AUCUAGGCAACUAUACUAGAAACAUUUCCACAGCAUGCUAGACAUCAGCAUGAAAAAACAGACUGCUGUUGUGCUAUUACUCAGAAGCAUUCCUAUUUCUCCUUGUCAAGAUUAAAAAACUUAACCUGGAGGCACCAAUAACAAAGUGAAGCUUACUCCCUACCAGACACCACUGGCCAGGUAGAGCUUGAGGCUACUUAAUGCUCCCAUCUGCACCACCAUCUGUUGCUGUACAAUUUCUGUAAUAGUUGGCUUCCACCCUGCAUGAGAAUCCAACAUUCUUAAACUAUUGGAAUUGAUGUGAACAAAACCAGGAGGCAACUUCUCAGUGGGAAAAAAUCCUAUAACCAGGUCUUCUCUUGCCUUGUGGCAUAUAUGGCCAAUUCUUCAAGGGGAGUCUUCUCUAUGAAUGCAUCUCUACGAAAUAUUAUUCCUCAGCUCCCUUGGUGCAAAGCUAUCAGAGAUCCUUAUGAGGAGGAAGUAAAUGAAGUCCCCACCAGACAGUUCAGCCUCAUGGAUACAGGGUCAUCUUAAUAGAAACAAAACUUAUUAAUUGGACGCUUUUGUGUAAGUGGAAUUUCAGGAUUUUGUUUUUCUGUGGAGGGGAUAGCAUCUUUCAGGUAUUUUCAUAAAACACUGAAUUACUUUUCUUCUCCCCAUAUCUCAUACUUUCUCACGUAUCCCCGACUCUCCCAUAUCAUGGGUAACAUUCUUGUAGAAAAAUGGAGCUGCACAGGAAUUCUUUAAGAGCCUAUCACCACCACUCCUAAAUUAGCCAGACAGGACACUGUUUGCUUAAUUUCGCAAGACAUUUGCCUUCCCCAAAGCCAGAAGAGCUACCUCAGUGAAUUCCCAGCUGUGGUACUCUACACUUUUAAAGGAUUUCUUUUUGUGGCAAAGGAGUAAGUUCUUCUAAACAAGAAACAAAACAUAUUGAUACAUUUCAUAACUUGGUCAGGUUGUUGAAUAUUAUGUAACUAGCUGUCUUGUAAAUAUUCACUCACUUCCUUCAGAAAGGCCCUGAUCUGUUCUAAGUGGCUAUAUUGUAAAAGCAAGAUAAGUGCAAAGAGAAAAACAUUAGAGUUGUACCGAAUGUGCAGACUUUGCCAAUACUGUGAUGUCUGAAUCUCUGCUGAGAAUUUUGCCCUCUAGAAACAUUUUACUUAAUUAUUGUUAUCAUUACUACUGUUAUUUUAGUGCUAUUAUCAUAAUUUGGUUACUAAACCAACGCAGUGAGAAAUCAUCUUUUCUUUAAGAAGGUAUAAGGAAAGCAUCUCCUUUGCCAGUGGUCCUCCAUGCUCUUCAGCAGCAAUGCACAUUAAUCACUGCAACUGAAUGCAAACCCUUAUGAACCCUGAACAUCUUGUAGCUUAAAUCAGAGUGUAUACUUCUUGAGGAGUAGGGGAAGAUA